CUACGGGCAGCAGCAGUGGGGAAUAUUGGGCAAUGGGCGCAAGCCUGACCCAGCAACGCCGCGUGAGGGAAGAAGGUUUUCGGAUUGUAAACCUCUGUCCUUGGGGACGAAAAAAAUGACGGUACCCAAGGAGGAAGCUCCGGCUAACUACGUGCCAGCAGCCGCGGUAAUACGUAGGGAGCGAGCGUUGUCCGGAAUUACUGGGCGUAAAGGGUGCGUAGGCGGCGUAUUAAGUCAGGUGUGAAAUAUUCGGGCUCAACCCGAAGGGUGCAUUUGAAACUGGUAUGCUUGAGUGUGAGAGAGGAAAGUGGAAUUCCUAGUGUAGCGGUGAAAUGCGUAGAUAUUAGGAGGAACACCAGUGGCGAAGGCGACUUUCUGGCUCAUAACUGACGCUGAGGCACGAAAGCGUGGGUAGCAAACAGGAUUAGAUACCCCGGUAGUC
rnacentral:rRNA from 1 species